ensembl:lncRNA
UCUCAUUUGUGCUACACUCAGACAGUGCUCUGUUGCUCAAGUAUUGAGCUAUGCUGAUGUCAUGUAGCAGAAGAUCCCGCAGCACAGCAGCCCACCUAUCUGCCAUGUGUAUUACAUAGGUUUCAAGAAAAUGGAAUUACAAGCAGAAGAAGCCGCUGCAUGGAAGGUCUGCUGCUGUGCUGCCCGCUGGAGACUUGCCUUGCGGUGAGGGCUACAGACACAAAAACAGCUUGGCACUGGGAGCUCCAUCUUGCUGUGGCAUAAGCUGGCUUCCUGCUGACUCCAGAUCUGCCUUCACACAGGUUGCUCUAGAUUGAGAUGAUAGAGUGGAGGCAAGUACUGUGCACUGGACUAGAGAAGUGUGUCAGCCAUAAAGGACAGCACACAGCAGCUAUGCUUUGUCUGGCACAGCAUUUUGUAGGGUUAAAAGGGAGUGACUGGAGUGUAGGGCCAUGCCAGCCAGUUUAGUCUCACCCAAGAGGUCCCAGAUUUGGUUCAAUGUGGUGAUGAAACUGCUGAGACUUUAUAAAUCCAGACUUACUUAAGGAGGGAUUGACAGAGCAAACUAUGACUAGGUUUUGUCACAGCAACCUAUAUGUCCAGAAUGGAAGUGCUAAGCCAACACUAGGAGGAGCAUAGAGCUGUGGACCCCUGUUUGCCUUUCAACUACAACUUUCUUGCAUUGCAGUUUCUUCUACACAUCUCCGGUUUCACAUGAUAUAAUAUUUGGCCCAGUAAAUGCAAGGCUUGGGUUUGGUCUCUAGUCAGAUGGUACCCAAAAAUAAGCAUCAAAAUAUCCACCGCUUAUUAAAAAGUCAAGAAGAAGAAAGAACAGACACAAAAUACAGUUUAGUCACCAUAAAGAAACCACCACCAAAAAGGCUGGGUAUGUAUCAGAUCAUCUUUUUGCAGAACAUUUCUUCUGAGAUAUAUGAAGGUGGGAAGACAGCCACUGGUAGAAUUUCCCCUGUUGCAAUGCCUCUUUAUUAUUUCAUUAAAAUCCUUGUAAUACACAAAACAAUAAAAGAAAGCAACUUGAAAGUUCACAAUACACAAGAUUCAUCUUGCAUUCAUAGAACGUGUGUAACUCAUUUUGUGCUGAUGUUUGCUUGUUUAAGAAUGCACACCUGCUCAUUACUACUUGUGGAAAAUAAGUUUAUUAGCCAAGGAAUGUCUGGACUCUUACUGGAAAUCCCAUGUAGAUGCAGUUAUGCUUCCUGUUAAGACUCUUCUUCAGUAAAAAAUUUGCUCCCACUGUAGUAUUCCAGGGGCAAAAGAAGCAGCAAAUGAUAUGCAGGAAAGAUGCAGGUAAAAAUAUUCACAGAGAUUAAAAACGCUCCAUGCCUGAUCCUGAUGAUUCAGUGCAUCUUUCCCUGUUGAAUGUAAGUAUUCUGUUUCAUACUACAUUUAUGUCAGAUCAAAUACUCUACUCAGAAGCUGGGACUUUACUAGUGCCUCAUUUGUAUUUGUUUUUACUUUGAAUCAAAACAUAAAGGUGGUGACAGAAAAAAUUCUGAUGCUUUGCAUAGGGUUAAUAAUUGAGAGCCAUUCAGCUUUGUUAGUCAUCCAUUUGAAGGGAAUUUCCUUAUGCAAAGAGAUUGCUCCACUUAGGACAAAACCAUUUUUUUUCUUCAUCUCUGAACUCCAAAUGAGCAGGAGAGUGGAAAGAGCAAGGGAAGGCAAAGGAGCAAAGUGGGAAGCUUUGAUCGUUUCACCGAGAGGCUGAGGCAGUUUGAAAUGAAAGAAUCUCUCACCACAUUAAAAAAGGAGGGAGAAGAAGAAAGGAGAAAGGAAGAAAAAGAAGGAGAAACAGAGAGCACAGUGUGACAGAAACAAUGUGAAGCAGGAGCCCAAGCCUCACAGGAAGGGUUGUUGCCAGACUCUACAGAAGCUUUUUUGCAAAAAGUAGAGAAGGGGCAUCUUAGUUUCUUUAACAGACUCCAUAAAACCAAUGAAUUGCCAAGAGAAGCAAAGAAAUAACAGGAAGAAAAUGUAUUCAGGUGACUUUCACUUUGCCUUGCUCGUUGCAUCUUUUGUGCAAUCUAGAUGAUAAAAUAAUUGAGUCUAAUCAGCCUGCAGCUAUAGAAAAGCUUGUGUCAAAGCUAUCAGGCAAGCUGCAAGAGGAACACUCCCCCAAAGUCUUAAGGGGUAGGCCUGAGAGAUCCUAUUUCACAGUGGAGAGCCAUACCCUGGGUGUGUGAGGGCUUUGCAGCCCACUUGGUUCAGGGUGAACUUAACAGAAAAGGCAUCAAACAGAAACUGGUUCAAAACUCAUGUGGAGCAGGUCUGCUAAUGCUGUGUCUCCAUUUUGAAAUGAGCAGAAAAUUAAUAACUAUAAUCUGUGGAUGUAAUUUUGUCAUUACCAGUUUGACUGGUACUUUAUUCCAGCCCAACUAAAUGAAUAGGACUUCCUGCUGGUCAAAGUGCUACUACACUUGAGUCAGGAUCUACUACCCUUAUUGCAGCCUGAUUUUCUUCGCUUUAAUCUUUUAAGUUAUAAUGCCUACAACACCUGCUAGUAAGCACCCUGUUGGCAGGCCAACAAAUAGAGGUGGGUAUACCAGAAAGCAAGUCUAUCUGUGCCUGGACUGUUGACAGAGAUCCUAAUGGACUAUGAGUACACAACCCAAACACACUAAUAUGUGAGCAUUUUUCCUGGCAGUAUGUAUUUAAACAUGAAAAAUCUGUGAUUUGCUGAUGGCCAAUAAAACAGGAAACCUGAACCCUUCUUAAUUUGCAGAAAGAUUAUUCUUUGCAAAAUAAUUAUUACUACAUAUGUGAUGAUUAGUAUGCUUUUAUUUUUGCUAGAAUAGGCAUAGCAUAAUGGAAACCUCUACUGUGAUAAUUUCUGUUUAAAGAACUGCAGCAUGUAAGUUAUUAUAAACAGUGUAUUAAUUCAAUGCCUGAAUAACUAUCAUCUUUUUUUCCCCCCAACAGCAGUCACUAUUCAGACAUUUGAAUGAUAGAAACCACACCUAUCCACUGUAAUUUAUUUCAGUGAUUUUCAACAAGAUGUUCU